UAAAGAAAAAUUCCAAGGUGGGUGGUUGAGCUUGAGAGGAGCCGAAGAAAAAGAAAUGCAAAGACAAACAAAAGCAAGGUGGUCACGGUGGUUUCCUGGCGCCAACGACCGUCAUUCCAAGGUAGGAAAGCCACACGUGGUGGUGGUUUGUGCAUACGAGGGGCGGUGAUUGGGUCCAACAGCGUUCCAGCUCUCACACCGGCAUCACCAGUACUCAACAUCGACGACAUCUUUGAUGAAUUUGGUGGCGGUAGUGCAAGAUGUGGAUUUGGUUUUACGGUGGCCCUUGGUGGCGGUAGGCAGGAUUCGUGAUGGCCAAACUAUUCAGCACAAAUCACUUCAGGUCGCAUUCCGUCCCGGAGAUCCACCUCCGGCGGCUCUUUUUCACGCAGAUUCUUCUCAUCUGAAUCGAAAGUUGGAGGAUCAGCGUAUAUGAUAGUUGAUCAUACAUACGAGCCGGAGGUGCGGGUUUACGAGCUGCAAUUGGUCUAUCUGAGCAUGGC